ensembl:lncRNA
GUUUCCUGCCCUCGUCUACCAUUCUCGGACAAGCCCACUAUCAUUUAUCUUACUACAUAAGGAUUAGUUCAGAGGUCUGCCAUAUUAAACUAUCACAAGAUUACAAGGGAUAAAGCUACUGCAUAAUUUGAGAAACUUGUAAAUAAUCCAUCAGGGAGAAGCUAUCACUAAGUCAAGGCAGAAAAGAACAAGUGACUGGAGUGUGCUCUGCAAACACUUGAGGAAAGAGGAAACCAAAAGGUCAGAGAGAAGGUGGAAACUCUCAAGAAUAAAAGCAAAAUGAGCUUUCCAGAUGAGAAGAAAAGGUGUCUGAAAACAAAACUGAACACUAAAAUCUAACGUGUGCCAAUUAUAUUGAAACAUAUUACUGUAUACUUUACCAGUUGUCAAAAUGAACAUGGAAUCCUCAAGACCAUUUCAGCAUGUCAGUAAAUUGAGAUCGAUUUUCAUGAGAUUAAGUGCAUGACAGCUGUUUUCACUAUGUUGAUGUUUACACUGAAUCUCCAAAACAAUGAUGAGCACUAAACUUCUGGUAUUUAGAAUGAGCCAAGGCAGUUAUCAAACUGUGUGGCCACUUUUUAUGUCUACCAACACAUCCACUUUCAAUUAAGAAUGCUUUUGAUGCAGGGGAUUUAGCUCAGUGGUGCCACCACCUGCUUCGAAAGUGCAAGGUCCCAAGUUCAAUCCCCAGUACCAAAAAAAAAAAAAAAGAAGAAGAAGAAUGUUCUUGAUGCCAGG